CCGCGGUGAUACGUAGGGUGCGAGCGUUGUCCGGAUUUACUGGGCGUAAAGAGCUCGUAGGUGGCUUGUCGCGUCGUCUGUGAAAGUCUGGGGCUUAACCCCGGAUCUGCGGUGGGUACGGGCAGACUAGAGUGCAGUAGGGGAGACUGGAAUUCCUGGUGUAGCGGUGGAAUGCGCAGAUAUCAGGAGGAACACCGAUGGCGAAGGCAGGUCUYUGGGCUGUAACUGACGCUGAGGAGCGAAAGCAUGGGGAGCGAACAGGAUUAGAUACCCUGGUAGUCCAUGCCGUAAACGUUGGGCACUAGGUGUGGGGACCAUUCCACGGUUUCCGCGCCGCAGCUAACGCAUUAAGUGCCCCGCCUGGGGAGUACGGCCGCAAGGCUAAAACUCAAAUGAAUUGACGGGG
rnacentral:rRNA from 1 species